UACGGAGGGUGCAAGCGUUAUCCGGAUUCACUGGGCUUAAAGGGUGCGUAGGUGGGUUGAUAAGUCAGUGGUGAAAUCCCCGAGCUUAACUUGGGAACUGCCAUUGAUACUAUUGAUCUUGAAUACCGUGGAGGUCAGCGGAAUAUGUCAUGUAGCGGUGAAAUGCUUAGAUAUGACAUAGAACACCAAUUGCGAAGGCAGCUGGCUACGCGAAUAUUGACACUGAUGCACGAAAGCGUGGGGAUCAAACGGG
rnacentral:rRNA from 1 species